rnacentral:lncRNA from 1 species
AGGAGAAAACAGAGAAGAGGGGAGAUGACUGGUCUAGGGAGGAGCUGAGAGCUGGGCCCAAAUGACAGACAGCUUUAAAGUGUGUUUACUCUGUUCACGGAAAUGAGCAGAUACAGAGCUCGCAAAUACUGAGAAUGAAUCAGCUCAGCCUCCCAACUGGAGACUCUUUACUUGGUCUUGGUAGCUCCAUGUGUGACAGAAAACAACCCUUUUCAGUCAUAUCACAGGACUGGACUUCUCUGGCUUCAGGCAGAAGCAUCAGUUCUGUUGUUCAUGAGAAUGAAGUUUGGGUCACCUGAUGAAGUAUUAGCAAUGCGUAUGCAAAGUGGCAUGUCCUUCUGGAGUUUCUUCUCGUUUGUCCUUUCAUUGUGUAUCUCUGCAGGACUGAAGCAAAUUCAGUUGGUCAACUAAGUGAAAAAUGAUCACAAAAAGGGUAACAUUUGAAAUGUCCAGCUACUUCACUAGAAAAAGAGAAAAAUGAAAAGGAUGUCUCGAUUUUUGGACAGUUUACAUAUAGAGAAACCAUUAAACACUAAAGCUUGAGGAAUAUUUACACAUUAACCCCGUAAAUCUGUUCAUAAUGUAUGCUCUAAAGUCAUCAUAGUAUAGAGAAUGAAAUGAGUGUACUAAUCAGGUAGAGAUUUUAUGAAGUGGCAUGGUGGUACAUGCCUUCAUUUCAGUGUUUGAGAAACAGAGGCAGGGAUAUCUCUGAGUUAGAGGCCAGCCUGAUCUACAGAGAAAGUCGAGGCCCAACAGGGCUCAGGGCUACAUAGACAAACCUCAUCUCAAAAAACAAACAAAUAAGCAAACAACAACAUCAAACAAAAAACAAAAAACAAAAAAACAAAAUAA